rnacentral:rRNA from 1 species
UACGAAGGGGCGAGCGUUGUUCGGAAUUACUGGGCGUAAAGGGCGCGUAGGCGGCGACUCAAGUUAGAUGUGAAAGUCCUGGGCUUAACCUGGGGACUGCAUUUGAUACUGGGUUGCUUGAAUUCGGGAGAGGAUAGGCGGAAUUCCCAGUGUAGAGGUGAAAUUCGUAGAUAUUGGGAAGAACACCGGUGGCGAAGGCGGCUAUCUGGACCGACAUUGACGCUGAGGCGCGGAAAGCGUGGGGAGCAAACAGGGAU